UUUUUUGUUUAUUCUAUUUGUUACGAUCUUCAUCAAUGUAGUUUUCGACCAUAGAUUUCCUACAUGAUUAUAUUUUUAAUUCCUUUUUACUAUGUGCUUGCGUUCUGUUUUGGAUGAUAUUUGUUGGUCUCAUGUUGUUUUUUUGUUACUGAGCCGAACAAUUGUUUACAUUGUUACCAUCCUCCUAGAUUUCUCUUUGUAUGUUUAUGAUUUUAAUUUGUACUUGACUAAUUUAUAGAGUUCCUUUUGAUGUUGGCUAUCGAUCGUUUUGGUGAUAGUUUCUGUGACCAAGAAGCCCACGAAGUGAGCAAGACGUAGCAAAGAGUUUGCAAAUGAUCCAAACUAAACCAAACGGCCAAACAAAUGCCUUCUUCGUUUUCAUUUAAUCAUUGCCUACUGAUUCUUAACUUUC
rnacentral:lncRNA from 1 species